rnacentral:rRNA from 1 species
GGGAAGAUCGAGGUCAGAGGCGGGGGAAAUAGUUAGGGGGCGCGCUUUGUCCGGAAUUAUUGGGCGUAAAGAGCUUGUAGGCGGUUUGUCGCGUCUGCUGGGAAAAUCCGGGGCUCAACCCCGGACUUGCAGUGGGUACGGGCAGACUAGAGUAUGGUAGGGGAGACUGGAAUUCCUGGUGUAGCGGUGAAAUGCGCAGAUAUCAGGAGGAACACCGAUGGCGAAGGCAGGUCUCUGGGCCACUACUGACGCUGAGAAGCGAAAGCAUGGGGAGCGAACAGGAUUAGUACCCCUGUAGUC